UUAUUCUUGGUUGCAUAUGGUUGAGAGCUCUCUUUGGAUCGAUCGAAAUCGUUCAUCGCUUGCUUCGUCUGCGAAGUCGACAAGUCGAAUCAGUCCAGUUGGGUCAAUUGAAGAAGCUACCAAGACACACUGUGCCACCAUCUGAGGCCAGAGCUGUCAACCCAAAGCAGUUCGAUUGUUCAAUUGCCUAGUCAUGAGCUUUGACUUGCACAUUACUCUCCUGAAAUUGACUGACGCGCUGGUGGCUGCCCGUAAAACUGAGAGCAAAUCAAGCAAACAUAUUUCAAGGACGAGCCAUAAAAAUGGAGAAUUUCAUUGUAAGGUAGAAUGCCUGCAAGGGCGAUACUGGGGCAGAGAUGAGCUCCACGUGUUGCUGAGGAGGGGUUUUUAGUGGGUAGUCCCGAGCCGGACCUCAUUGAACAAUGCAUGAAAACAAAAGGUUGGCUCCUGAAAAAACAGAGGUCGUUAUGCUAGCUGGCGGGAGAUGUCCACAGAAAAACCUAUCCUUUAGGGUAGAGGAAACCACUCUGAAACCACAGAAAAAGUCAAAUACUUAGGUGUUGAUAUAGACCAAAAGAUGUUAUUCACUCACCAUGAGACAAGAGUGGCGAGGAAAGCUGAAACAUUAACAGUUACCUUGAGCCGCUUGAUGCUGAAUGUCCGAAGUUCGUCACCCCCAAACAGGAAAGUGCUGAUGGAAGUAGCACCGGAAUGAAGAAAUACAAGCAAAGACUUGAAGGGAUACAGAGUAAAGCAGCACUGCAUUCUAAAAAUGGUAACAUAUUUUGAUAUACUCGUAACCAAUUUUUGUAAUCUGCUAUGUCUAAGAUGCGUUACGAUCGUUCCGAUAAAAAAAUCUUUUUCUCCAACUGUCAUGAUAGCUCAGCGUUUGACCGAGCGAGAUCGAUCCAUUCUUAUUCAUUUUUUACCAAAUUUAAAUUUAAAAUUUUCUUCUACUUCUGUUGAACAACACCCCUUUGCUUAUGCUCACAGAACAUGUGAGCUUUUUGCUUUGCUUAUGUCUGCGAAAGUCUUCAAAAACCGUAAAUUUGUUUCUAAAGAUCAUGUUCUGGAUACCUCUUAAAUAUGUCAAUUUUUCAGCCUCUAAACUUUUUAUUUCUUACUUCAACCAUUGUUAAAUAUAUUAUUUUUGUCAUUAAAAAUUUUUUCGUCUUUCUCUUUCUUUAUUGUAUCUUGGUUUCAUUGUUUUCUUUAGAACCUUAAUUUUUGAAAUUUUAAAUUAAAUUAGUCCUAAAAAUUUUCAAUAUGUUCUGCUUUAAAAUUGUUAAAUUCACAAUUUUUCGGCUCUAUUAUCCAGAUCAUUUAUAGAGCAAAUACAAAAUUUAACAUUGCCCGUUCCUGACAAAUUCUACUUUUUCGUAAAAAAUACUUCUUAUGUUUUCCCAAAUGUUAACAACAACUUCUCCACAAUUUUUUUUUUUCAAAUUAUUUUACCUUUACGACCUCCAAAUCUUUUCAACUUUUUCCUCAGUUAAUCAAUUUAAUCAAUAUUCUAAAUACCUCGCUUACGAGGAUUAUUGCGGUUAUUAUAUAUGUUAGCAUUCUCACCCCUGAGUCUACUGUUACAUCACUAUCGUCUCAUGGUCAGGACGAACCUGAUGACUCACGGGAACUUAACACGCAUAAGUCCGAUCGCUUGUCUUGCAUAACAUUGUUAAAAAAUAAGCCAGUCGAGAAUAAAGAGUUGGGCUAUAUAACAUUAUCCUUUUUGAUAACAUCAGAUUGAAAAUUCUAACGUGAAUUUACCACCCUCACCGCGAUAGUGACGUGAACACCAGUGGUGAAACAAAAAUUUUAUUGAAAAAGAAAAUGAUGUUUUCAGCUCGCUUGUCAAAGAUAUUUAUUUACUCUUCCCACAAUAAUAUGAAUAUAUUUUAUUUUAUUCUAACCUGAGGAUGACCACUUUGUGGUUGAAACGCGUUGUGUUUGAAAUAAAAGUUUGGUGUGACGGGUUUACACAACCCCGGUCUCUGCCGAGAAAGAAAUAAAACAUAAAAGCAGAUUUUUUGUUUUUUGUACUUGAAAUUCGAGAGAGAGCCUUCAGAAAUUCCAAAAUUACCGUGUGUAUGCGUAAGCUUUUUGAAGCUAUUUAUCAAUCUUCUCCGUCUCUUAUCAGCACUCAACAAUCUAUAGUUAUUUACAAAUUGAUACCAGGUUUUCAAUUAAAAGUUUUAUUAAAACGAAGACUACAUUUAGAAAACCAGUAGUCGUGGAUUGUGGUGAAUUUAAAACACCUCUCUCGUAACGCUUCACUGAAAAAUUUAGUGAAACAGUUAUUCAAACUUUAAACAAUAUAUUGAAACAAGGAAAAAACAUUUACAUGGUUAGUGAAGGUAUAGUUGUAAGAACAACCAAUAUCAAGUUUAUUGAACAGUCAGAGGAAUAAGUUAUCUUGAAUCUACACGUGAAAAAAUAUGCCAGUCCCAAUCUUUCAUCGAGAAAAAUUAACAUUCUCUCUACAAACGUGAUUAAGCCUGCUGAUCCGGUCGUUGAGGUGCAUGAUGAAAGAAGCCUGGCGAGUUCUAUCACCAUAGAUCCGCAAUUAAUAAGUGACAUUGAUUUUAACGACAUCGAAAAGCAGUUUAAGAUGCAUUUAGAAGAGGACUCGUCUGAUGCCUUUACCACCCAACCACCAUCGAACAGGGGUAAAGGGCGAGCAAAGGGGAAAGGAAAACAGUUAUAUAAAAGGUCCUCUUCGACGUGCCGUGCCCUGUCGCCAUCUCCCUCAUCAACGUUUUCACUGAUUGAUGAGGAUGAGACGAUGAAGAUGGAUACGGAGGUAGACAGAAUGGCAACAGAUUUAAAAAACCAAAUCUGUAAUAAAUUCAAAAAUGUUGUCAAACAAAAUUUAUUAAUUGAAACUAAAAUAAAAAAAAUAGACAAAUAUAUAGCAUAUAAAAAUAAAUUAAUGGGGUUGGGUUAAGCAAACAAUAAAGAAAAGGUUGGGACUCAACGCUCAUCCAAGGAAGUUAACAUUAUUUCAAAUGUUAUUAUUAAACAUCCAACAAGAAGGGCUGCAGUGAAAAACCUUUCGCUCAUACGAGAAGUAGAAGAAGAGGCUUCAUUAUCUGAAUAUGAGAAACUUGAGCAAAUGAUUAAAAAAACUGCAGCUGCAUACCCAUACACGGUUGAGGUUGCAGCGAAGUUUUAAAAAUCGUAUAAACGUUAUUUGCAAGACUCGAGUUUGUGCGCAGAAAGUCAUCAACAACCUGUUGAAAAAAGAAGAUGAAUAUAAGCGAAAAUUAGAUGAAAUUCAAACAAGUCAAAAAGUUUAUAGUUUUUUUGUUUAGAAAAGCCAUGGGUUAUUAAAAACCAUGUUUUUCAGUAAAGAAGGGAAUGGAUGUGAAGGGCUAAAAAACCCUAUUUAAUUUUUGUAAAGAUUUUCAGCCCAAAGCAGUUCGAUUGUUCAAUGAAUAGUCAUGAAAUGUACGUUUUAAUUUAUUUUUCCCAAUUCUGUGACGGGCUAAAAAGUCCUUUUUACUUUUGUGAAGACUCAGAGUCAGUCUUAUUCAGUUACUAUAUAUUAUAUUACUACAAAAGAAGUUAAGAGACCAAGUUAGGGUCAUUGCCUUGAAUUCUAGAACAUUCAAUCUUAAUAAUGAAACGGUAAUAAUACGGUAUUCAUUAACAAAUUAUUAAAUUAAUUAUAUAUUAUAUAUUUAUUAUAUUAAAAGAAACAUGCAAACAAUUUUUGU